rnacentral:tRNA from 1 species
GAAAGACCUAUAGGACUUCUCCUACAUCACCUGUAUGCAACUCAGAUAUUUUUAUUAAAAUAAGGCCUA